rnacentral:rRNA from 1 species
UACAGAGGUCUCAAGCGUUGUUCGGAUUCAUUGGGCGUAAAGGGUGCGUAGGCGGCGCGGUAAGUCGGGUGUGAAAUCUCGGAGCUUAACUCCGAAACUGCAUUCGAUACUGCCGUGCUUGAGGACUGGAGAGGAGACUGGAAUUUACGGUGUAGCGGUGGAAUGCGCAGAUAUCAGGAGGAACACCGGUGGCGAAGGCGGGAUCCUGGGCCAGUACUGACGCUGAGGAGCGAAAGCGUGGGGAGCAAACAGG